rnacentral:rRNA from 1 species
GUUUGAUCCUGGCUCAGGACGAACCCUUGCGGCGUGCUUAAUACAUGCAAGUCGAACGGAGUUAAGGGUUUCGGCCUUUAACUUAGUGGCGAACGGGUGAGUAACGCGUGAAUAACCUGACUCAAAGAGGGGGAUAACAAGUGGAAACAUUUGCUAAUACCGCAUAAGGUCCCACUACCGCAUGGUAGAGAGGUCAAAGGAGUAAUCCGGUAUGAGAUGAGCUCGCGUCCCAUUAGCUAGUUGGUGGAGUAACGGUUCACCAAGGCAACGAUGGGUAGCCGACCUGAGAGGGUGAUCGGCCACACUGGGACUGAGACACGGCCCAGACUCCUACGGGAGGCAGCAGUGGGGAAUAUUGCGCAAUGGAUGGAAAUCUGAUCCAGCCAUGCCGCGUGCAGGAAGACGGCCUUAUGGGUUGUAAACUGCUUUUAUACGGGAGCAAUAAGGGUUACGAGUAAUCCGAUGAGAGUACUGUAUGAAUAAGGAUCGGCUAACUCCGUGCCAGCAGCCGCGGUAAUACGGAGGAUCCGAGCGUUAUCCGGAAUUAUUGGGUUUAAAGGGUGCGUAGGCGGCCAUUUAAGUCAGCGGUGAAAUUUUGCAGCUUAACUGUAACAGUGCCGUUGAUACUGUUUGGCUAGGAUUUGGUUGUAGUGUGCGGAAUGUGUGGUGUAGCGGUGAAAUGCUUAGAUAUCACACAGAACACCGAUUGCGAAGGCAGCACACUAAGUCAUUAUUGACGCUGAGGCACGAAAGUGUGGGGAUCAAACAGGAUUAGAUACCCUGGUAGUCCACACUGUAAACGAUGAUAACUCGCUGUCGGCGAUACACAGUCGGUGGCCAAGCGAAAGCAUUAAGUUAUCCACCUGGGGAGUACGACCGCAAGGUUGAAACUCAAAGGAAUUGACGGGGGCCCGCACAAGCGGAGGAACAUGUGGUUUAAUUCGAUGAUACGCGAGGAACCUUACCCGGGCUCGAACGGUGCAUGAAUAUACGAGAGAUUGUAUAGUCCUUCGGGACAUGUAUCGAGGUGCUGCAUGGUUGUCGUCAGCUCGUGCCGUGAGGUGUCGGCUUAAGUGCCAUAACGAGCGCAACCCUUGUCAUUAGUUGCCAUCAGGUCAAGCUGGGGACUUUAAUGAGACUGCCACCGUAAGGUGUGAGGAAGGGGGGGAUGACGUCAAAUCAGCACGGCCCUUAUGUCCGGGGCGACACACGUGUUACAAUGGGAGGUACAGAGGGCAGCUAUCCGGUGACGGAAUGCUAAUCUCCAAAACCUUUCUCAGUUCGGAUUGGAGUCUGCAACUCGACUCCAUGAAGGUGGAUUCGCUAGUAAUCGCGCAUCAGCCAUGGCGCGGUGAAUACGUUCCCGGGCCUUGUACACACCGCCCGUCAAG